AUCAUGGAGAGUUCGAUCCUGGCUCAGAACGAACGCUGGCGGCGCGUCUUAAGCAUGCAAGUCGAGCGGGAAUAGAGGUGCUUGCACUUCUAUGAGAGCGGCGGACUGGUGAGUAACACGUAGGCAACGUACCCUUCGGACGGGGAUAGCCGGCAGAAAUGUCGGGUAAUACCGGAUGUGAACAUGAGCCGUAAAGGUUCAUGUGGAAAGGAGCUUCGGCUCCGCCGGAGGAGCGGCCUGCGGCCCAUCAGCUUGUUGGCGGGGUAAAGGCCCACCAAGGCGAUGACGGGUAUCCGGCCUGAGAGGGUUAACGGGCACAU
rnacentral:rRNA from 1 species